UUAGUAAGGAGCUUUUUGCUUUAUUGAAUAAAACAGAAUCCAGGCUUCUGUGUUCCAUGUACUCAUAAAUGAGCAUCUUCUCAUCCAUCUCAAUGCAGCAACCGAGCAGUCGAACAAGAUUUCUGUGUUGAAGCCUUGCUAUUAACCUGACCUCAUUCUUGAAUUCUUCUAUUCCUUGCCCAGAGGUCUUUGACAGCCUCUUUACAGCUACCUCUUGUUCUUCUACUAGCCUACCCUUGUAAACACGGCCAAAACCUCCUUGUCCUAGCAUAUUUUCA
rnacentral:misc_RNA from 1 species